GACGAGGGGUCCAAGCGUUGUUCGGAAUCAUUGGGCGUAAAGCGGGUGUAGGCGGCUCUAUAAGUCAGGAGUGAAAGCCCCAAGCUUAACUUGGGAAGUGCUUUUGAUACUGCAGAGCUUGAAUGUGGGAGAGGGUAGUGGGAAUUCCAGGUGUAGUGGUGAAAUACGUAGAUAUCGGGAGGAACACCAGUGGCGAAGGCGGUUGCCUGGGGGCUUUGCUGACGCUGAUGCGCGAAAGCGUGGGGAGCGAG
rnacentral:rRNA from 1 species